UUUCAUUUCUAAAAAAUUGCAGAGAUCACUGAAAGAUUCAAUUAUGAGCUUGACAACUAGUUAUGAGGAUAUGCUUUUAUCUACAGAAGCUUUUCCACUGCCAAUUCCAUUAGCUGAUAUGGUUGAUUUUCUUGUGGACUUUUGGCACGAUGGGGGUCUCUGAUUAGAUGACAGGUAAUUUUAUUGUAAAUUUCAAGUAAGAAUGUUGCGCACGGUUUUGUUUGUGCAGAUUGAAGCUGAGGGAAACACAUUACAGAUUGAUGGACAAAACCAUAGCCUGAUUGAUUCUCUUGGCAGCACAGACAGGCUUCAUUUAGAUUAGUUGUUGGUGUUAAGCAUUUAUCUGCCUAACCAUAAUUUUGUACAAGAACGGAUUCUUCUUAAUAUUCAGUGACCGAUCUCUACG